GAACAGUCCAAAUGUAGCACAAAAGUGGAAAAAUAUAAAAACUGCAUCAAAAGGAUUGAAAUAAGGCAUUGCAUUCGUUCAUGUUUUCAACAACCUUUUCCCCCCAAAAUUUCAUUUUUUCUUCUCUCUAUAAACUUAGACUUGGUUAACAGAAAAAGGGGGGAGAAAAUUCACAAAGAAUCACACACAAAAAACACUUAUUGUAACCUGUUACAAAACUCACCACUCACCAAUUUUGCCUGCAACUUUACUCCCUAUAUCUCAGUCACCAUUUCACAGAGAAAAAAAAGACAAAAAACCAUUCUUGAACUCUCACUAAAAAAAUUCACACGCACUAGAAAAAAUUAG